AACGAACGCUGGCGGCAUGCCUAACACAUGCAAGUCGAACGAAACCAUCGGGUCUAGUGGCGCAUGGGUGCGUAACGGGUGGGGACAUGCCCAUAGGUUCGGCAUAACUCCCCGAAUGGGGUGCUAAUACCGGAUCAUGUCUUCGAACCAAAGAUUUAUCGAGUUUGGAUGGGCCCGCGUUGGAUUGGCUAGUUGUUAGGGUAAAAGCCUACAACGGCGUCGAUCCGUAGAUGGUUAGGGAGGCUGCGCAGCGACACUGGGAUGGGGACACGGCCGGGACUCUUACGGGAAGGGGGAGUGGGGGAUAUUGGAAAGUGGCGGGAAGCAUGAUCCAGCUAUGACGCUUGAGUGCUGAAGGUCUUAGGGAAGGAAAGCUCUUUUACCCGGGAUGAUAUUGACGGUACCGGGAGAAUAAGCGCCGGCUAACUCCGUG
rnacentral:rRNA from 1 species